AUGGAUGGAACUAGUUCCAAGAGGCAGAGGAAGGAACCAAGGCCAAAGAGGAUGACGGGACCAAGUGAUCCCUUUGCAGUGAUGCUUCAAGAUGUCAAUAGCCAGCUCAACAAUGUGACACAAUAUGUGGGUACAAUGGCAGCAUCAUUGUCAGCAUCAUUGGCACGAGAAGCAGCGCAAGAGGAUCCUUAG
rnacentral:rRNA from 1 species